rnacentral:rRNA from 1 species
AUUGAACGCUGGCGGCAGGCUUAACACAUGCAAGUCGAGCGGGGAGAGGUAGCUUGCUACCGAUCUUAGCGGCGGACGGGUGAGUAAUGCUUAGGAACCUGCCUAUUAGUGGGGGACAACAUUUCGAAAGGAAUGCUAAUACCGCAUACGUCCUACGGGAGAAAGCAGGGGAUCUUCGGACCUUGCGCUAAUAGAUGAGCCUAAGUCGGAUUAGCUAGUUGGUGAGGUAAUGGCUCACCAAGGCGACGAUCCCUAGCUGGUUUGAGAGGAUGAUCAGCCACACUGGAACUGAGACACGGUCCAGACUCCUACGGGAGGCAGCAGUGGGGAAUAUUGGACAAUGGGCGCAAGCCUGAUCCAGCCAUGCCGCGUGUGUGAAGAAGGCCUUCGGGUUGUAAAGCACUUUCAGUAAGGAGGAAGCGUUGAGUGUUAAUAGUACCCAGCGUUGACGUUACUUACAGAAGAAGCACCGGCUAACUCUGUGCCAGCAGCCGCCGUAACAC